rnacentral:rRNA from 1 species
CCAAUAGCGUAUAUUAAAGUUGUUGCAGUUAAAAAGCUCGUAGUUGCAUUUCGGGAUCAAAGAAUCGGUCAUGCCUUGGUAUGCACUGGUUUUAUUGGUUCUCACCUUCUAAAGAACCAUAAUGUCAUUCAUUUGAUGUUAUGGGGAAUUAGGACUGUUACCUUGAAAAAAUUAGAGUGUUUAAAGCAGGCUUACGCUUGAAUACAUUAGCAUGGAAUAAUGAAAUAGGACAUCAGAUUCUAUUUUGUUGGUUUCUAGGAUCGAUGUAAUGAUUAAUAGGGAUAGUUGGGGGCAUUAGUAUUCAAUUGUCAGAGGUGAAAUUCUUGGAUUUAUUGAAGACUAACUACUGCGAAAGCAUUUGCCAAGGAUGUUUUCAUUAAUCAAGAACGAAAGUUAGGGGAUCGAAGACGAUCAGAUACCGUCGUAGUCUUAACCAUAAACUAUGCCGACUAGGGAUCGGAUGAUGUUAAUUUUAUAAUGACUCAUUCGGCACCUUACG